GGGAUUAUGGCUCAGUGGUAGAGUGCUCGUCUAACACAUGCAAAACCCUGGGUUCAAUCCUCAGCACUACCA
rnacentral:tRNA from 1 species